UACGUAGGUGGCAAGCGUUGUCCGGAAUUACUGGGCGUAAAGCGUGCGCAGGCGGUUUUGUAAGACUGUCGUGAAAUCCCCGGGCUUAACCUGGGAAUGGCGAUGGUGACUGCAAGGCUAGAGUUUGGCAGAGGGGGGUAGAAUUCCACGUGUAGCAGUGAAAUGCGUAGAUAUGUGGAGGAACACCGAUGGCGAAGGCAGCCCCCUGGGUCAAAACUGACGCUCAUGCACGAAAGCGUGGGGAGCAAACAGG
rnacentral:rRNA from 1 species